rnacentral:rRNA from 1 species
CCUACGGGAGGCAGCAGUGAGGAAUAUUGGUCAAUGGGCGCAGGCCUGAACCAGCCAAGUCGCGUGAGGGAAGACUGCCCUAUGGGUUGUAAACCUCUUUUAUAAGGGAAGAAUAAUGACUACGUGUAGUCAGAUGCCCGUACCUUAUGAAUAAGCAUCGGCUAACUCCGUGCCAGCAGCCGCGGUAAUACGGGGGAUGCGAGCGUUAUCCGGAUUUAUUGGGUUGAAGGGGUGCGUAGGGGGUAGUUUAAGCUCAUGAUAAAACGUCGGGGUUUCACCUUGAUUGGCAAUUAAAACUGGAGUACUAGAGUACAGACGAGGUAGACGGAAUAAGUGACGUAGCGGUGAAAUGCUUAGAUAUGACUAAGAACCCC